UCCGCCGCCUACGCUCACGCGCCGCCGUGCCGCGCCCACCGCUCGUCAGGGAUCGAUGCGAGUUGUGCUGUCCUUGCUUCUAUCUUUGGCUUUUGCUUCUUUAGUUUCUUCUUGGUUUUUGUUUUUGUUUGAUUUGAUGGUUCAUCCGAGGGGAGAAUGGCGGCGAUGACGAAAAAACAUGGUUCGCUCGUCUGAAUGGCGGGUUCUCACCUGCCUUGCGGAGCUUAAAAGUAGUCCGAGCCCAACGCCUCCUGGAUCCAUCGAUCUUUAUUUUAUGGUGCUUGUUUCCUUUUUUGCAAUCUUACAAGUUUUGGUUUCUGAUGAGAAGGCGUGUUGCAAUGAUGAUAAUCUUCAGUCUCGAGAGCAGGUCUCUGCUCGGUGAGCCUGGGAAAUAAUCUCCAUUAUUUCCUCCUGAGCGGUUACCUGAGCAACUCCCAACAAUCACCCUCAGUGCAGAAAUAAUCUCCAUCAUGCUUUGGCACUGGCAAUGGUAGUUUGAACUUUGAACAAACGUUUGAUUGGGGAAUCGAUUCCAUUCUUUCCCAGAUUUCAUUCCAAGAUACAAACGCAAGUGACGUUCGUUUUACAUUCACUUGCAGCAUAAAAAUAAAACAAACAUGCACAUCACGCUGGUUGACUGCAUCUAGAAUGAAG
rnacentral:lncRNA from 1 species